rnacentral:lncRNA from 1 species
ACGAUAUUUAACGACAAAUAACAUACAUUUUACUAAAGAGGUAAGGAAAAGGUAGUGUUUUAUGUCACACGAUUUCGCCAAAUUUGUGAAGAUUCCAAGCAAGAGAAAGGGUUUAAACAUAGGUUUUGAUUCACCUCAUGAAUUAUACUGAUGUCAUGUUCCCCCUUUAUAUUUGAAUGACUUUGUCACAGCUCUAAACAGUAAGACCAUUAACAUUACAAUACAUCCUAACUGGCACCCCAAAAUUACUCUUAUGUAAUCAACUGUUUCAUCAACAAGAAGCAUAAAAUAAAGAGCUCCGCCAUUUUUUAUCACCCGUCCUAUCGAACCUUUUCUAAAGAUACUGUCCUGGAAAACAAAUGUUUUGCCUCAAGUAUGCACUUCCACACAUUUUCGGGCAAUACUCUGGGCGUUCAUGUAGCUUCAUGGCUCCAUGGUGGCUCUACACUUGGCAUGGAGACUCCCAUGGUGGUGGUUCAGUCUGGAUGGGCUUGGUAGGCGUGGUGGAUAGUGGUGGUUCAGUCUGGGUGGGCUUGGUAGGUGUGGUGGAUAGUGGUGGUUCAGUCUGGGUGGGCUUGGUAGGUGUGGUGGAUAGUGGUGGUUCAGUCUGGAUGGGCUUGGUAGGUGUGGUGGAUAGUGGUGGUUCAGUCUGGAUGGACUUUGUAGGCUUGGUGGAUAGUGGUGGUUCAGUCUGGAUGGACUUGGUAGGUAUGGUGGAUCGUGGUGGUUCAGUCUGGAUGGACUUGGUAGGUAUGGUGGAUCGUGGUGGUUCAGUCUGGAUGGACUUGGUAGGUAUGGUGGAUAGUGGUGGUUCAGUCUGGAUGGGCUUGGUAGGUGUGGUGGAUAGUGGUGGUUCAGUCUGGAUGGACUUGGUAGGCGUGGUGGAUAGUGGUGGUUCAGUCUGGAUGGGCUUGGUAG